GUGAAAAGCUAAUUAGGUCAUUCAUUCUUUGAUUUAUUUAUUCUAUUUAUUUUUCUUUUUUCGGGGAAAGGAGAAGGGGGUGGAAAGGGAAAAGUGGCAUGAAAAAGCCUUUCAGUUUUAAAUUUGAGAUGACAGGUUGUGAAUAGAUUAUGUACACCAUCGGCCAUGUUUUGGAUAUAGAAACAUACGAUCAGCCAUGUUUUGGAUAUAGAAACACACCAUCGGCCAAGUUUUUGGAUAUAGAAACACACCAUCGGCCAAGUUUGAAUAUA
rnacentral:lncRNA from 1 species